UAGAAUUGGCAGGGGCUGUUUCCAAAUGCGGACUGUGAAAGGCUUUGGGCGUUUUGCUUUAGGAUUUUCAAAGGUGUGAAUCUUGUUUCAUGAUUUAUCAGAAUUUUGUCCUCCGGAGAGGAAAUGCAUAAUGCAAAGAGGCCUUAGGGCGACUUUGCUUGAGGAAGUAUUGGAAGACGCCCAUGGGAGCAGCCAGUCAUCCAUCACAGGCCAGUGUUGCGUCCCACAGCAGCAAAGCAGCUAAUAGCGACACAGAACCCUGGGGAGGAGACCAAGCAGUCGCCUGCUACGAAAACAGAGCAGUGGAGGGGAUCAAGGGCUGGAAGGGCCAUGGUCUUUCUCCUUCCCUCUCGCUCCCCUUCUCGCUUCGAAAAUGUUCCUCACAUUCCCGGCAAUCUGUCGUACUGCAUCUGUCCCAUAUGGCUGAAAGUUAAGUGCAAACUCCACCCCACAGUCGACUUCAUUGGUCAACUACAUCACAGUAACCUGUCAAGAAAAAAUCAUGGAUUCAGUUCAGAGUUCAGAAAAAUCACGGAUGGAAUCUGAUCGCUACUGGGAACAGUAAUGCUACUGUAACAAGAUGUUCUACCAAUGCUAUACUACGUUUAAGGGUGGACAUGACUAAUCUAAGCCUGCCAUCUGGUUAAAGACAUGGCCCCUGCUGUCGCCUGUAUUUCCCAUGAAUCCUCACUGCUCCUCUCCCCAUGGAGACACGUCCGGAAAGGUCAAAGGUCAACCCCGUGACCUGCAGAGAGGUAUUGCUCCUGCUGCUCAGAGGUCAC